AUGACAUUUUUAUAUUAUAAACAUGUAAAUAAAAGUGAGACAAACCAAAUUUUUCACAAACUAAAAAAACUUAUCCUCAUAGUACAGCCACUCACUUUCUCCACUCAGAGCCGCUCCUCUCACCUUCUCCCCUCACAGCUACUCCCAUCCAUGGUGCCUCCCCUCCCCUCGACGGCGGCGUCCGGGCCCUCCUCUCCCUGCACCAGCCCACCUCUUUGCUUAUGCCCUCCCCCUCCCCGGCCUUCGACAAGCACCCCAGCGCUCGCGACGCAAGGCACAGAAGCGCAGUCUGUCUCGGCCGCCGCCGCCGUCGUCUCGUCGCCGCUCGGAAACACCGAUGCCCAUGAAGACAACAAGGACUACGAGGGCUCCUUCGGCCCCGAGAUCGUCUGCCUCCACUCCCAGGAGGCGGUCGCCCGGCAGGGUCCGCACGCAGGUCGACGCCAUCCACCACUGCUUCUCGUGACGCCAUGCCGACCACGCCUCCAGCGUCCUCGCAGAGCUCGCAAAAAUGGAUGGGUCUACAUGGAGGAUGAACAAGUUCACAGACUUCUCACCAUUCUUGAUGCCGCACCCAUGUGA
rnacentral:rRNA from 1 species